GAUGAACGCUAGCGAUAGGCCUAACACAUGCAAGUCGAGGGGCAGCACAUGAAGCAGCAAUGCGGAUGGUGGCGACCGGCGCACGGGUGAGUAACGCGUAUGCAACCUACCUACAACAGGGGAAUAACCCGUUGAAAGACGGACUAAUACCCCAUAACACAGGGAUCCCGCAUGGGAAUAUUUGUUAAAGAUUUAUCGGUUGUAGAUGGGCAUGCGUUCCAUUAGCUAGUUGGUGAGGUAACGGCUCACCAAGGCAACGAUGGAUAGGGGAACUGAGAGGUUUAUCCCCCACACUGGUACUGAGACACGGACCAGACUCCUACGGGAGGCAGCAGUGAGGAAUAUUGGUCAAUGGGCGCAAGCCUGAACCAGCCACGUCGCGUGAAGGAAGACGGCCCUACGGGUUGUAAACUUCUUUUGUAAGGGAAUAAAGUGUAGUACGUGUACUAUUUUGCAUGUACCUUACGAAUAAGGAUCGGCUAACUCCGUGCCAGCAGCCGCGGU
rnacentral:rRNA from 1 species